AAAUCUUAUUUAGUUAAACUGCAAAUUUAAUAAAGAAAUUAAUUCUAAGAUUUUU
rnacentral:tRNA from 1 species